rnacentral:misc_RNA from 1 species
AUUCAAGCAGAGAGAAAGUAGGACAGUGUUUGCCAUCACGGAGUACCAUGCGUGCCCUUUAACCUCACUGUAAUCACUAUAGAGGUGUAUCAGUAACCGCUGUCUAUUUCAGUGGGCCGUCGGCAUAGGGAGCUAUUAAUAGGACCGAUGAAUUCAUUGCUUAUAGUUGUAUAAGUUUACUGUUAGGCACACAACGCUCAACGCUGACGCUUACAAAGUCACUCUAUAUGGAAGGAUAAAUUAUAUACACUUUAGUGUGUGUGUGUGUCACUCAGAAGAAAAGGUGGAAGAAACCUGGGAUGAGUUCCCAAUUGCCGGAACCGGAGUAUACCUUCAAGAUACUGAUCAUAGGAGACUCCGGGGUUGGGAAGUCGGCCCUCCUCCUCCGGUUCACGGAGAACACGUACCUAGAGAGAUUCAACACCACGAUUGGAGUCGAUUUUAAAUUCAGAACGAUAUUUGUGGAAGACAAAGCUGUCAAACUUCAGAUCUGGGAUACAAGUGGACAAGAACGCUUCCGUGCAAUUACAUCCAGCUACUACAGGAACAUCCACGGCAUCAUCAUCAUGUACGACAUCACGAGUCAGACAUCAUUCAACAACAUAGAGAGGUGGAUUCAUCAGUGUGAACAGUACUCUACGGAAGGGGUCAACAAGAUGAUCGUGGGCAACAAGACGGACCUGGACAAGGACAGGGUAGUUCCGGAGAGCACAGCCAAGGAGUUUGCAGAAUGUCGUGGCAUGCCCUACCUGGAAACCAGCGUGAAGGAAAACAGUCAGGUGGACGACGCCUUUCGUAUCCUAGCGGAGGACAUCAUCAACAGCUGGGACAUGGUCACUGACAUAGAUGAAACAUGUGACCCAAAUAUAACGUUAUCUACUAACGGCCCGGUCAGGAAGCCCUGUUGUCGAGUUUGAUGGAACUUGUGAAUGUGUAUGAAUGAGGGGGGUGAAACUCCACCGGUGAUUCUUCUGUAUGGUAGAUGUGUUCGGCUGUAUGAGAGAGAAGUCUGAAACCGACUUGUGUGCGAUAGAUCUGACAAGAUAUGUUGAAUGUAGUAUUUCGUGGCAAGGAGUCUUGAGUUGCCGUUGAGUUUAUGUAAAUGUUCGGGAUAAACCUGUGUCUAAGUGGCCGCGAUCAGGAUCGAUGGCGAAAAUAAUAUACAAUGGUUGGUUGCUUUCGUAAAUAUACUGAACAUUAGAAAAGCACCACACUAAAAUGCACCGAGGAUACUCAGAUAUAAUGGGUGCAUUGCAGUCUGACGGGAUAUUUCGUAUUAUAUGGGUGGUGCAUUUCUAAUGUUGUUCAGUAUAUGUAGUCCUUCGAUAUGUUUAUAGACAGGAUAUGUUAGUCCUUUGAUUUGCACUUUGUAAAUCUGUAUUGUGAGAUAGAGAUAAAGUAUUCUACUUAAAACACCGAACGCCUACAACUGGGAGGCCGUGCAUUUCAAUACUCACCAGCUAUGGCAGAUUAGCUAUAUAUACAGUAUUAUUUAACUACUUUUGAGUAGUAUAGCUUAGAACAGCUUGAAACGACAAAUGAUAAUAACGUAAUUAAUUUAUUGAUCUUAUAUAAAUGUCAUAUAAAUGGGAGUCACGCCUUGGCUGGACAUUCCAAUAAAGAAAUAUAUACUCUACUCGCUGAUGCAUGAAUGAGUCAGUGAGUUUAUUUUUACAAUGGGCUCAGCAAUAUUCCAGCUAUAUGGCGGGCGUCUGUAAAUAAUUGAGU